UACAGAGGUCUCAAGCGUUGUUCGGAUUCAUUGGGCGUAAAGGGUGCGUAGGCGGCGCGGUAAGUCGGGUGUGAAAUCUCGGGGCUUAACUCCGAAACUGCAUUCGAUACUGCCGUGCUUGAGGACUGGAGAGGAGACUGGAAUUUACGGUGUAGCGGUGAAAUGCGUAGAUAUCGUAAGGAAGACCAGUGGCGAAGGCGGCAUCCUGGACCAAUUCUGACGCUGAGGAGCGAAAGCCAGGGGAGCAAACGGG
rnacentral:rRNA from 1 species